CAAUCUGCCCUGUACUUCGGGAUAAGCCCUGGAAACGGGGUCUAAUACCGGAUAGGACACUGUCUCGCAUGGGGUGGUGUGGAAAGCUUCGGCGGUACGGGAUGAGCCCGCGGCCUAUCAGCUUGUUGGUGGGGUGAUGGCCUACCAAGGCGACGACGGGUAGCCGGCCUGAGAGGGUGACCGGCCACACUGGGACUGAGACACGGCCCAGACUCCUACGGGAGGCAGCAGUGGGGAAUAUUGCACAAUGGGCGGAAGCCUGAUGCAGCGACGCCGCGUGAGGGAUGACGGCCUUCGGGUUGUAAACCUCUUUCGCCCGGGACGAAGCGUAAAAGUGACGGUACCGGGAGAAGAAGCACCGGCUAACUACGUGCCAGCAGCCGCGGUAAUACGUAGGGUGCGAGCGUUGUCCGGAAUUAUUGGGCGUAAAGAGCUCGUAGGCGGUGUGUCACGUCUGCCGUGAAAACCUGCGGCUUAACCGUGGGCGUGCGGUGGAUACGGGCAUCACUUGAGUUCGGCAGGGGAGACUGGAAUUCCUGGUGUAGCGGUGGAAUGCGCAGAUAUCAGGAGGAACACCGGUGGCGAAGGCGGGUCUCUGGGCCGAUACUGACGCUGAGGAGCGAAAGCGUGGGGAGCGAACAGGAUUAGAUACCCUGGUAGUCCACGCCGUAAACGUUGGGCGCUAGGUGUGGGGACGCUGUUCACGUGUCCCGUGCCGUAGCUAACGCAU
rnacentral:rRNA from 1 species